rnacentral:rRNA from 1 species
UACGGAAGGCAGCAGUGGGGAAUAUUGCACAAUGGGCGAAAGCCUGAUGCAGCUAUGCCGCGUGUAUGAAGAAGGCCUUAGGGUUGUAAAGUACUUUCAUCGGGGAGGAAAAACAAAACUAAUAAUUUUAUUUCUUGACGUUACCCGAAAAAGAAGCACCGGCUAACUCCGUGCCAGCAGCCGCGGUAAUACGGAGGGUGCUAGCGUUAAUCAGAAUUACUGGGCGUAAAGAGCACGUAGGUGGUUUUUUUAAGUCAGAUGUGAAAUCCCUGGGCUUAACCUAGGAACUGCAUUUUGAAACUGAAAUACUAGAGUAUCGUAGAGGAAGGUAGAAUUCUAGGUGUAGCGGUGAAAUGCGUAGAUAUCUGGAGGAAUACCUGUGGCGAAAGCGGCCUCCUAAACGAAUACUGACACUGAGGUGCGAAAGCGUGGGGAGCAAACAGGGAUUAGAUACC